rnacentral:rRNA from 1 species
AUUGCCAUGGGCGCAGCCUGAUGCAGCCAUGCCGCGUGUGUGAAGAAGGCCUUCGGGUUGUAAAGCACUUUCAGUCGUGAGGAAGGUGGUGUUGUUAAUAGCUGCAUUAUUUGACGUUAGCGACAGAAGAAGCACCGGCUAACUCCGUGCCAGCAGCCGCGGUAAUACGGAGGGUGCGAGCGUUAAUCGGAAUUACUGGGCGUAAAGCGCAUGCAGGUGGUUUGUUAAGUCAGAUGUGAAAGCCCGGGGCUCAACCUCGGAAUUGCAUUUGAAACUGGCAGACUAUAGUACUGUAAAGGGGGGUAGAAUUUCAGGUGUAGCGGUGAAAUGGGUAAAGAUCUGAAGGAAUACCGGUGGCGAAAGCGGCCCCCUGGACAGAUACUGACACUCAAAUGCGAAAGCGUGGGGAGCAAACAGGAUUAGAUACCCUGGUAGUCCACGCCGUAAACGAUGUCUACUUGGAGGUUGUGGCCUUGAGCCGUGGCUUUCGGAGCUAACGCGUUAAGUAGACCGCCUGGGGAGUACGGUCGCAAGAUUAAAACUCACAUGAAUUGACGGGGGCCCGCACAAGCGGUGGAGCAUGUGGUUUAAUUCUAUGCAACGCGAAGAAACUUACCUACUCUUGACAUCCAGAGAACUUUCCAGAGAUGGAUUGGUGCCUUCGGGAACUCUGAGACAGGUGCUGCAUGGCUGUCGUCAGCUCGUGUUGUGAAAUGUUGGGUUAAGUCCCGCAACGAGCGCAACCCUUAUCCUUGUUUGCCAGCGAGUAAUGUCGGGAACUCCAGGGAGACUGCGGGUGAUAAACCGGAGGACGGUGGGGGACGACGUCAAGUCAUCAUGCCCUUACGAGUAGGGCUACACACGUGCUACAAUGGCGCAUACAGAGGGCGGCCAACUUGCGGAGAGUGAGCGAAUCCCAAAAAGUGCGUCGUAGUCGGGCUGGGAGUCUGCAACUCGACGCGUGAAGUGAGAUUCGCUGGUAAUCGUGGAUCAGAUGGCCACGGUGAAUACCUUUCCGGGCCCUUGUACCCACCCGCCCCGUCACACCAUGGGAGUUGGAUUGACAAAGAAGUCAGGUACUUACCUUCGGGAGACGCUUUACAACUUUGUGAUCAAUGAACUGGGAUGAGUCGUACCAAGGUAG